UGGAAGAGUCCUAACAUCCUCGUCCUUUAAUUUUAUUGUCUUACCUGUGCAAGGCGAGUUCCAUGACCUUUUGGAGCAAGCAAGACGAGUCCAUGCCAAGCAUCCCGAAAGCCGACAACCUCAAGAAGUCCAUCAUCGACAUAUGGUGGAGUGUCCCCCAUGGAUUGAAUCCACCAGAAAAACUGGGCAAGUUAAGGCAUACGACUGACCUAAUUCUGUAGCAAACAUCAGGUACAACGUUUCAUAAUAUUAAAGAGAAGCAUAUGGUAUCCUAAGAAAGGGGUCCUAAACAUUACAGAACCUUUGACCACAAUUUCAUUUUUAGUUCUCUGAUUACAGAAGUUGCACUUUAUACUUCACAAUCCCUUUGGUAAACUUUCCACCUUUUACAGAACACAUUUAAAUUGUAAGCCAAUUUAAAAAAACAAAAACAAUUUUUAAAAACCACCUUUUAAAGUUCCUUUGGUUACCAUUUGGUAUUCGGAUUUUAGUUCUAAAAAAUUGAACCUAUAAUUGCUCCUUCUACCUCUACAUGCCUUCCUUUGUUAUCUACCUUCUAUUGAUGAAUUUAAAAACCAAGUCAAGUACUAAAAAACUAAACAAAGUAGUUUUUUUUUUUUUUUUUUGUUGGAAUUAGACUAAGAAAUUCUUCUAUUUUACUUAAGAAAGAUGCAAAUUGUUGCAAGAAACUGAGAGAAAAUAAACCUAAUUUUCAAAAACCAAAUUGUUACCAAAUGGAACCUUGAUUUCAAAUUCUAGUUUAGAUUUUGAAUCUUUUUUAAAAAAACAGAAACAAAAGAGUUGAUGUAGUGCUCAUAGUUUAAUUUCCAAAAUUGGGAAACAAAAUGGUUACCACCAGCACCUCUCUUCUUGCCAGACUAAUUAGCAAGACUGUAUUUGAAACGAAUUUAGUAAUACACUGAUAAGAAGAACAAUAAAAUGUACGGUGCAGGUUUCAGUUUCCAAAUAAAAUUUUUGAAACAAUAGUUAUUAAUAAGGAAAAUUGAUUUAAAUGACAAAACUAUUGAAAAAAUUUACAAAUAGGAAAAAUUUGCUUUCUACUUUGAUAAACCGCGAAGAUGGAUAUUUUACAGUUUUGCUAUAUUUGAAAACAUCAAUACACGUUUUCCAAAAAAAAAGACCAAACUCAAAUAAGUAAAAUCCAUAAAUACUUCCAUACUUGUUCUUCAGCAUGUCCAGCAACACAUUGGAUGGAUAAAUAUUAUAGUCAUCAGAUAGUUAAUAAUAAGAAAAGGUUAUUAGUUAAUAAUAAGAAAAGGUUAUGCCGACCAAACAAAGGGGCAUUUUGAGUACAUGGAAGUCCAAAAGGAAAUCAGAUCAGUACCAACAGCCAAGGAAAUUAUUUGAAAUUUUCAUAAAAUUUUGAGUACGGUUUUUAUUGUAGGAAGUAGAUGAGAGUCCAGUAAGUAAUGAAAGCUGAAAACCUUACCCAUGAGGUAUAUGCAACGUUUUCCAAUCACCAUGACAUUUCAUGAUCUCGACCUUAGCCAUUUGAGAUAUAUUCCUACAGUGACAGGAAAGUAGUUAAAGAAAGAAAAGGGUAAAAACUGAAGGUUAAUGCAACAUAUCGUUCUUGCAUUACAUUUUGAUUUAAUGAGGAGAAAUACCCAUUUUUUAAAUUAAACUUUUACAUUUAUACACUUCGAUUGAAGGCAUUUUCCAUUUCCCUCGCCUUCUAUUUAUUGCAUUCAGUAACUAACUUCCUAUCUACUUAUCUUUAUACUCCUUACAAAUUCCAUACUUAUAUUCUGAUCUAGGUACCUCACAGAAUCUUUGUAUAUUAUUCUCCGAGUGCAAUUUAUACUCAUUUCAGUGCAUCUUGUAAAGUCUCCUAAUGGGCAGCCCAACAUUGUGGGGGUUGGGGUUGUUUAAAACCUCACAAGGGACGACAAAUUGGGAAUUUUAAGUACCUCAUCAUGGUCAGUUUAGCUUUACUAUUUCACAUGCACACACACAAAUAAAAUAAAAUCAAAUCAAAUCAUUUGGAAACGAACAUGGAUGAAGGAUGAAACAAGGGAGCAAAAAACCAGGUGCUUCCAAUCUUUGCGUAGGUACUCUGGUACACAAAAGUAAAAAUAGGAGAAAAAAUGGUUAAAUUUUGAUAUGUAUGCAAUAACGAUGUAAUAAUCGAAGAGUUAAACGUGCUUGAAAAACAUAUCCAAGAAUGACGUUGAAGGUCAUAUUUUGAUCAUUCAAUGUCUUAAAAUCCGUUAUGUUUCUAGUAUCUAUCAUCUCAUACAAAGAUUUUAGUAAUGAUUGAAAACAAACCUGAAAGCAAAUUCAGGAUGAAAUUUGUAAUGCUUACCUGAUUAACUAACUGAUUCUUAAAUUUUUCAGGAUGCAACUUUCGCUCAGAAUGAAAUGCAUAUGAUACUUGAGCAUCCAUUCCUAUAAUCAAAACGAAGAAUCCACUCUCAUGUCAGAGACCAUUAACAGGAUUAUUUCAAACUAAAAUUAUCAGAGUACAAAAGCUCAGACAGUAAAAGCCAAAUGUUGGAAAAAUUUCCCAUUACGUUACGACUCUAAGUAACAUCUUCUGUGAUAUAUUACAGCUUUUAGUAACAAGUUGACCUUUUAUCUAGAGUUGCAAUGGAAGAAGUCUUACCCAUGCUAAAGUAGUUCCAAAAUCCUCCACGGAAUGUGAGGCAACCUUCCUGAUUAUCAAGAAAAUACAUCAGCACAUAAAGAGAGAAGCAAAUUGAUAAAGCUUAAUUGAAGAAUUCUUUGAAGAAAACAAGAUAACCAACUAAGAUAUAUUAGAACAUCAAAGUACUCUUUUAUGUCAAAAUGCAACAAAAACAGGGAAUAUGUUCCACAGCCUGUAGUUACCAACUUACCACAUUGUGUUCACCCUCGGUGACGCGAUGAAAUGCAUGUAGGGAAUGUGGCAGUUCAAGGGGAGCAAUAGGAUCACACGACCCUUCUGUAGGAGCUCUCAUCCUCAUCAGAAAAUGCCAACUGUCAAACAACAAUAACAUGACCAGUUAUCGCUUUUGAUAAGAAUAAUGUACAGUUUAUCAUGAACAAAUAUGCAAACAUGUGUGCUUCAGCCUUUCUAUCCAAUUUUCUUACUUGUCUAUUUUCA